rnacentral:tRNA from 1 species
AGCUCAGCUGGUAGAGCGCCAGGUUGUGAUCCUGGAUGUCGCGGGUUCAAGUCCCGUC